UCUCUCUCUCUCUCUCACUGUUAUAGUGGUAGUAGUAGGAACCAUUUUUAAAUGUUCAUCUGUCCUUUAAAUUAAUACAUGAAAUUUUGGAAGUAGGGCAUUUGUUGUACUGAUUUGGUGGGUUUCUGUUCUGGUUGUGGGUGUGCUCCUGCUCCAUUGUUUGACAAUUGUCCGAGUUAUCCGGAACCCAACUCAGUUUGGUAGUUAGAGAGUGAGUGAAGUGGCUGACGGAUGUUGAAGGGUUGUUGGCCAACUGCUUCUUAAACCCAUCUCUUUGUCCCUCUGUUUCUCUUCUGUCUUCUCUCCAGAUUGCUGUGGAACCAUCUCGAUUGAGAAAAUGAAUCUGAGGAGCCAUUCUGGAUCUUAAUCUGCAAAUUAUAUCCGUAAAAUAUUGCAAAACUUGAGGCUGGAUUUGUCUCUAUACCAAAGAUUCCGCCUAAGACCAGCCAGCUAGCCACCGAAGCCAGUCCUCACCCAUCACCCAUUUUUAGGAUAUUUAUCCUGCUGCUCUGGAAGUACAGAUUGCAGUGCGCACACUCUCUCUCUCUCUCUGUCUCUCUCACUCUCUGACCCCCUGAAGGACGAGGUAAUUUUUGAGAUUGGGGGUCUCAUUCGUUCAUUCGUUUAAUCAUAAUUCGUUGGCGAAAAGAUGAAGAAGGGAGCCGUGCUGGUGGCUAUUGCUGCUACAAUUGGUAACCUCCUGCAAGGAUGGGAUAAUGCCACAAUUGCCGGGGCUAUUGUUUACAUAACGAAAGAAUUCGACUUGGGGAGUUCUUUGGAAGGCCUUGUUGUGGCCAUGUCACUCAUCGGAGCAACAAUUAUUACAACUUGCUCAGGAGCCAUAUCAGAUUGGAUUGGUCGGCGGCCAAUGUUAAUAGCAUCCUCAGUCUUUUAUUUUGUGAGUGUUGGUAAUGGUGUGGUCACCCAAUGUCUAUGUACUAUGUAUAGCAAGGCUGUUAGAUGGAUUUGGAAUCGGCCUAGCAGUUACUCUCAUCCCACUCUAUAUAUCUGAAACUGCCCCACCAGAUAUAAGGGGAUCCUUGAAUACUCUUCCGCAGUUCCUUGGUUCAGGCGGCCUGUUUCUGUCCUAUUGUAUGGUUUUUGGGAUGUCACUGAUGGACUCACCAAGCUGGAGAUUGAUGCUUGGGGUUCUUUCCAUCCCCUCUUUGAUCUACUUUGGGUUAACAGUGUUUUACUUGCCUGAAUCUCCUCGAUGGCUUGUGAGUAAGGGCAGGAUGCUUGAGGCAAAGAUUGUUCUCCAGCAGUUACGUGGCACUGAAGAUGUUUCUGGUGAACUGGCUUUGCUGGUCGAAGGUCUUGGAAUUGGGGGUGAAACAUCAAUAGAAGAGUACAUAAUAGGCCCAGCUGAUGAGCUUGGCGAUAGUCAGGAUCCAGCUGACAAAGAUAAAAUCAAGUUAUAUGGACCUGAAGAAGGCCUUUCCUGGGUUGCCAGACCUGUCACCGGACAGGGUUCUCUUAUUAGUCUUGUUUCUCGCCAAGGAAGCAUGGUAAACCAGGGCGUGCCUUUAAUGGACCCUCUUGUCACUCUGUUUGGUAGUGUUCAUGAAAAUUUCCCAGAGACUGCAAGUACCCGAAGCAUGCUUUUCCCUAAUUUUGGCAGCAUGUUCAGCACAGCAGAUCGGCCUAAGACUGACCAAUGGGAUGAAGAGAGUUUGCACGGGGAAGGUGAGGGCUAUGGAUCUGAUGGUGCUGGGGGAGACUCAGAUGACAAUUUGCAUAGUCCAUUGAUUUCACGUCAGGCAACAAGUCUGGAAAAGGAUUUAGUGCCCCCUGCUUCCCAUGGCAGUGCUCUAAGCAUGAGGCGGCACAGCAGUCUCAUGCAAGGAACAGGGGAGACAUCUGGCAGCACAGGCAUCGGUGGCGGAUGGCAGUUGGCAUGGAAGUGGUCUGAGAGAGAAGGCGAGGAUGGAAAGAAGGAAGGAGGAUUUAAAAGGGUAUAUUUGCAUCAGGAGGGAGGCCCAGGCUCCCGUCGUGGGUCCCUUGUGUCACUUCCUGGUGCUGAUGUUCCUACAGAAGGUGAGUUUAUCCAGGCUGCUGCUCUGGUUAGUCAGCCGGCUCUUUAUUCGAAAGAGCUCAUGGAUAAGCAUCCUGUUGGACCUGCAAUGGUUCAUCCAGCAGAAACAGCUUCAAAAGGACCAAUAUGGGCUGCUCUGCUUGAACCAGGAGUUAAGCAUGCAUUGUUAGUUGGAAUGGGAAUCCAGAUUCUCCAGCAGUUUUCUGGCAUAAAUGGGGUUCUCUACUACACUCCUCAAAUUCUUGAAGAGGCAGGCGUUGAAGUACUUCUUUCAGACUUGGGUCUCAGUUCAACGUCUUCAUCCUUCCUUAUAAGUGCAUUCACAACAUUGUUGAUGCUUCCUUGUAUAGCUUUGGCCAUAAAGCUCAUGGAUAUCACUGGUCGAAGGAUGCUGCUGCUGACUACGAUUCCAGUGUUGAUAGUAGCACUCAUCAUUCUCGUGGUUACCAACCUUUUGACCUUGGGUUCAGUUCUUCAUGCAGUACUAUCAACCACUUGUGUUAUCGUCUAUUUCUGCGUCUUUGUCAUGGCGUAUGGGCCAAUUCCAAAUAUCCUGUGCUCCGAAAUAUUUCCCACAAGGGUGCGUGGCCUGUGCAUUGCCAUCUGCGCCUUGGUGUACUGGAUUGGGGACAUCAUCGUCACUUACUCGCUACCUGUGAUGCUUGAUUCAAUGGGCCUAUCCGGUGCCUUUGGGAUUUACGCAGCGGUUUGUGUCAUUUCUUUUGUAUUCAUCUUCUUGAAGGUUCCGGAAACCAAAGGCAUGCCCCUCGAAGUCAUCACCGAGUUCUUUUCUGUUGGUGCAAGACAAGUUGCGGCUGCCAAAAACGAGUAAUUGCAAACUCGUGCAGUGUUACUGUGGACGUCCAUCUUGUCAAUUGCAGUGCAUUUGAAUAUUCAAGCAGGUUUACUCUUCAAUUUUGAUGCGUGUAUGAUAAAGUAGCUCGAGUAUUUAGGAUUGGAGAUUAUAGAGUAAGAAAGCUUAGCUGACUGGGUUGAGUCCUUUGACUCUUCAAUUUUCAUGUCCUUAUUUAAAUAAACCAUAUUCAAGAGCCAAAUGUAGUACUGGAUUUGCCGAGUGUUUUUA